AUUUCAUGUUUUGAGUUAGGUGCCGUAAAGGCUUAAUAGGGAAGACCGGUGCAAUACCGGCGCGGUCCCGCCACUGUAAUGGGGAGCAAGCUUAAGAUAUGCCACUGGGAUGAAGCAUCCUGGGAAGGUUUAAGCAAGCUAUGAUCCGGAGCCAGGAGAACUGCCUAGCUGACAAUCACCGU
rnacentral:ncRNA from 2 species